UGCAGGGCUGUCUCCUUGAUCACAUGAGUGUACCCCAUUCUAUUGGGAAAAAACAUUUUCUGACCAAGGGGGCUCCUCUAAGGCUGAUGGCCCAAGAAAAAUAUCCUCUCUGCCUAAACUAAAAGCAGCCCUGCUUGAUUUCAACAUCAUUAUUCCUUAUGUCCGUGACAAGCAGGCUGCUGUUACAGUAACUCGUGUGGAAGAGCUUCAUCCUUGCCAACUUGUCAUUGCUCACAAAGCACAUAAAUAAUUUUUCCUGAAAGCGUGUAUAAGCACAGGUAGUGGAAGGAGGGGAGAGGGUGGUGGAAUUACAGGAACAGGAUCUAAAGUUCCCAGAAAGAAUAUCUCUCUCUCUUAAACUUUCUCCAGGGGAAGUCUCCUGUAAACUGAAAAUGCCCAGAGGCAACUAAAAAAUAAAAAAAGGAGCGAAGCAACUGCCAGAUUGUAACUGGCACAAAUGAAGACUCACACAGCUAAUCUGCCCAUAUAUUACAUAACACACUGUUAUUCAUGCAAUGUGAAAUGACAGCUGAAAUUAAAGAGAUAAUGGACAUAAAACUAAUGGCACCACUUUAAUAUAACAUCCCCAGAUAUUAUAAACAAAGUCUAUAAAUUAUUGAUAAGGCUGGCCUUGCAGGCAUUCCAGUUAUUCAGUUAGUUUUUUGUUUUUCCAGCAUCAUCUUAAACAAGCUGACAGGUUUAUAAGACCUCUAACAACAUUAUUCUCUAGCUGUCUUCUAGUUUUCCUUUGCCUUUGUCCAUUUGAUAUAUUAAAAUAUUAAAUUAUGGCAUGCUACCAUGCUUGCAAUCUUUGGAACCCUUUGCUGGCUUCUAUAAAGAUGUUUCAAAUGUUGUUUGUGAAUAAUGCCAUGGUCUCUUUCUCUUUACUACACAUUUCAUUUAUGCCUCUUGUGCCUCAUAUGCUAGUUACAGAAUCCCCUGGAUUCCUGCACACCCACUCUCUCUGUUAAUAGGUGCUGGGCAUAUUUGGUCGGAGAGGACCACAAGUCCGGUGCUGCCCAAAGCAGAGGACCUCAGUCUGCCCCCUUUCCAUUGGUGAGUACGGUCUGUACUGCACUUGCGCUGAUUGCAGAAGAGACAGAUACCGCCCUUCACCCUCAUCUCAACCACUUGUGGCGAAAUCCAAGGUCUGGGAUUAUUCUUUUGCUAGAUUUUAUUUACCAUAUAGGUCGUCCCUCUAAAGCUGCCACCCUUGGGUACCUGUAUGGCAAAUACAACCCUGGGUAUCCAGAGGAGUUAAAUUAGGUGCUUAGCACAGCUGUAUGAUGUUGGCAGGUGGAAUGCUUGCUGGAGUGGGGAGGUAGUGUUCACUCUAGAGGAGUACCUAUAGUUAUGUUUCACAGAGGUUUGACUUUGUAUUGUCCAGUUUAUAAAUAAAUUGUGUGGCAAUAAAGAGAUAGGAUUUCAUAUCUUGAUCCACUGGGGUGUCCAGGUAAUACUAAGCAGAGAUGGCCAAUGCAUUGAUUCUCUACCCCGAUGAAACAAUUUACAUAUAAGGGCUAAUUUUACAAAAGUGGUGCUGUAUGCAAAGUGCAAGAAAUUGUAACAGAUUGCCACAUUUCCUGCCCUCAAUCCAUGAUUUUCCCCUGCAGUCUCUUCUAUUUGCUUCUGUUGGUACCAGGCACAAGUGCCACAUCCCUUAGUGCAAAUAUCUGCUCUUCUAGAAUCAUCUAAUGCAGAAGUAAAUGCAAACUGCACCUGGUUAGGCAUAAGUACAAAGUGCAUGGCAUACAGGGAAGAGGGUGCAAUAGUCCCUAACCAUUGUCUUUGAUAAAUAAGCCCUAUACAAUUCACUUCAAUUAGCUGCCUUUCUAAAAAAGUUUCACCUCGGGUGGGUGACAAAAUGCCCAGGAUCACUAAAACCAUGAAUUCAGGCAACUGUUGCUUGGAAACACUGUCCACUGGCCAAUGAAAACAAUAGAAAGAGAUUCCAGACCUUUUGCCAAUGGACUGAGCACCAAAUGCCUGCAAAACGUGCCCAAGGCCAUUUCCCUACAAGAACUGAUUGUAAACAUUGUACAAUAAAAACCAGCAUUCUUUUUUUAAA